CCAGCAGCCGCGGUAAUUCCAGCUCCAAUAGCGUAUAUUAAAGUUGUUGCAGUUAAAAAGCUCGUAGUUGAACUUCUGUUUGCGCUGAAGCGUGGCUUGCCAGCUUGAGUGCAGACAUCCGUUUGCAAACCUUAUUCGUCCUUUACUGGUUCGAUAAGGGGAGUAGACAUUUUACUUUGAAAAAAUUAGAGUGUUCAAGGCAGGCAAUGGUCUGAAUACAUUAGCAUGGAAUAAUGGAAUAGGACUCUUGUCCAUUUGGUUGGUUAUUGGAUAGGAGUAAUGAUUAAUAGGGACAAUUGGGGGCAUUAGUAUUUAAUUGUCAGAGGUGAAAUUCUUGGAUUUAU
rnacentral:rRNA from 1 species